ACACAGUGGACACACAGAUGCAUAAGGACCCAGGACAGGGCAUCUGGACAUGGCUGUCUGCAUGUUUCGUUCUCUCUGUUCCAGUGGUUCUUCCAGAAGUUGGGAGGGAUGAAGACCCCCUUGGGGUCUCCAUUCUUGGGCCCACGGCUUGAAGAAGAAUCCCCUUCUGCUCACUAUGAACAUGGCUUACGACCUCACAGACAGCAAAGAUAAGGAGACCCAGAGACAGGAAAAGGCCGCAGCCCCCAGGAUCCUCUCCACCUUCUCAUCCUCCCUCAGCUGCGCGUGGCAGCCUCAGAAGGAAAGUUCACUCAGGACAUACCUAGGAUGAAAGCAGGACACCCCCACUUCAGCGUUGGAGCGCAUCCUUGGUUCAGCCCGUUCCUCAUUCCUCCCCUUCAUCAUCAUAGCCAACUUCUGAGGAAACUCCAUCAAAAAUGUGAGGGACAGUCUUCUGGAAGGUGUGCAACUGCAGGGAGGGGCUGUGGACACUUACAUACUCCUUUCCAGAGCCUUCUUCUUCUGUUCCUCCUCACUCUCAGGGGCUUGGGACAAAGUCUCCUCUUCAGGUGGCUGGAAGGAAAGAGCAUCCUAGGGUGAGCAAAUGAAUGCCCCUUGAGAGAAAGGAGCCUCCCCAGAGCCUGUCCUCACACCUGCGCCUUAUCUCCAGGGCCCUCCAACAAUGUGGUCAGCAAGGUCAGUUCUGGCAGCUCCUCUCCUGUGGCUAGAGCUGGCUCCAACAUCCAGUUCUGGGGGCCAGAAAUUAAGUGUCAGAGGUCAGGGACAGUAGCUGGAUGGCCCCAACUUGCCCUCUCUGCCAGUGUCCUUCAUGGAUGUCCUACAUGCUUCUGUGGCAUCCCCUGCUCACCUCAUAUGGUCUCGGCUGACCACUGUCUGCCUCAGUUUCCAUACUGAGACAAUGUUUGGAAUGAUCCAACCAUUUCCUCAGGCCACUGACUGGCCCUGGGGGGCCUGGGGAACAGGGGCCAGAGCUGAGGCCAGAGCUGGGGCCAGAGGGGGCAGCCAGUCCGGAGGCAGCAGAAGCCGAUAUACUCCCCUCACUGCCAGCAAUGGAAUAGGAUUCUAAUGGAGGAAAAAGAAAGGAGGUGAUAGACCUUGCCCCAGCUCCCGACUCAGGGUCCCAGCGAACUCUCAGGUCUCCUCUCCAUGAUGCUCAGCCUCUCUCUCCCAAGGCUCACUCUCUUGCCAUCCUCAUUUGAGUUGGCCAGGAUAGAAAUUUUCACCGGGGCACCCUUGGGAGAAAGCACAGUAAGGUAAACACCUGGCUCUCCAGGCCUGGAACCCCCAGUUACAUGUGGAGGUUCCCCAUAUCCUGAGCAUAGCACAGAUAUGAGGGCGGGGGCAGCCAUCUGGGCAGACACUGGAAGCUGGGGGUGGCCAUCUGCUCUCCUACAACCCUCCCCCUUUCAAUGGGUACAGACCAUUCUCUGGGAAGGGGGGAGGAUGAGCUGGGUCCAUCUGCCACUCCCAGUCCCCUCCUCCACAAAUUGCAGUAAUCACUAUAAAAAGAAAAGACUUCUGCAGCCCACCUCCCCAACCCGUGCAUAGACCCAAUAGAGGAGGCCAGUGAGGAGGGUCCAUCAGGGUUAUCUCUGGCCUGGGCUCAGGGACAGAUGAGCUAUAAUUCCUUAUAAAGCCCCUUGUAGAACC